AUUGAACGCUGGCGGCAUGCCUUACACAUGCAAGUCGAACGGCAGCGGACCUUCGGGUGCCGGCGAGUGGCGAACGGGUGAGUAAUAUAUCGGAACGUACCUUUCAGUGGGGGAUAACGUAGCGAAAGUUACGCUAAUACCGCAUAUUCUGUGAGCAGGAAAGUAGGGGAUCGCAAGACCUUGCGCUGAUUGAGCGGCCGAUAUCAGAUUAGCUAGUUGGUGAGGUAAAGGCUCACCAAGGCGACGAUCUGUAGCGGGUCUGAGAGGAUGAUCCGCCACACUGGAACUGAGACACGGUCCAGACUCCUACGGGAGGCAGCAGUGGGGAAUUUUGGACAAUGGGCGCAAGCCUGAUCCAGCCAUGCCGCGUGAGUGAAGAAGGCC
rnacentral:rRNA from 1 species